ensembl:snRNA U2 U2 spliceosomal RNA
AUGGCUUCUUGGCCUUUUGGCUAAGAUCAAGUGUAGUAUCUGUUCUUAUCCAUUUAAAAGACAAUGUACCAUAAUACCUGAGGAAGGACAUAUAUUUUAUAAUAACAUAAAUACAUGUUCUCAAAUAAAAAUUAAGCCUUC